rnacentral:misc_RNA from 1 species
GAUGAAGAACGCAGCGAAAUGCGAUAAGUAAUGUGAAUUGCAGAAUUCAGUGAAUCAUCGAAUCUUUGAACGCACAUUGCGCCCGCCAGUAUUCUGGCGGGCAUGCCUGUUCGAGCGUCAUUACAACCCUCAGGCCCCCGGGCCUGGCGUUGGGGAUCGGCGGAGCCCCCCGUGGGCACACGCCGUCCCCCAAAUGCAGUGGCGGUCCCGCCGCAGCUUCCAUCGCGUAGUAGCUAACACCUCGCGACUGGAGAGCGGCGCGGCCACGCCGUAAAACACCCAACUCUUCUGAAGUUGACCUCGCAUCAGGUAGGAAUACCCGCUGAACUUAAGCAUAUCAAUAAGCGGAGGA